AGGACGAACGCUGGCGGCGUGCUUAACACAUGCAAGUCGAGCGGAAAGGCCCUUCGGGGUACUCGAGCGGCGAACGGGUGAGUAACACGUAAGCAACCUGCCCCUGGCUCUGGGAUAGCCUCCGGAAACGGGGAUUAAUACCGGACAUGACCUGCUGCCGCAUGGUGGCGGGUGGAAAGUUUUUCGGCCAGGGUGGGCUCGCGGCCUAUCAGCUUGUUGGGGGGGUGACGGCCCACCAAGGCGACGACGGGUAGCCGGCCUGAGAGGGCGACCGGCCACACUGGGACUGAGACACGGCCCAGACUCCUACGGGAGGCAGCAGUGGGGAAUAUUGGACAAUGGGCGCAAGCCUGAUCCAGCCAUGCCGCGUGAGUGAUGACGGCCUUAGGGUUGUAAAGCUCUUUCGCUCGGGACGAUAAUGACGGUACCGAGAUAAGAAGCCCCGGCUAACUUCGCGCCAGCAGCCGC
rnacentral:rRNA from 1 species